rnacentral:rRNA from 1 species
AGUAAAAGUCGUAACAAGGUUUCCGUAGGUGAACCUGCGGAAGGAUCAUUAUCGAGUUUAGGGUCCUCUGGGCCCCAUCUCCAACCCUUGUCUAUCCUACCACGUUGCUUUGGCGGGCCCGCCCUUAACCGGGCCGCUGGGGGAUGUUCGUCCCUGGCCAGCGCCCGCCAACGGCCCCCCAAAAUUCCAAAAAUAAACAGUGAAAUGUCUAAAUUUUUUACAAGAAUAAAUUAAAAACUUUCAACAACGGAUCUCUUGGUUCUGGCAUCGAUGAAGAACGCAGCGAAAUGCGAUAAGUAAUGCGAAUUGCAGAAUUCCGUGAGUCAUCGAAUCUUUGAACGCACAUUGCGCCCUUUGGUAUUCCGAAGGGCAUGCCUGUUCGAGCGUCAUUAUCAACCCUCAAGCCCGGCUUGGCGUUGGGUCGCGCCGGGGGUAAAACUCCGGCGGACCCCAAAGGUAAUGGCCGAGCCCGUGUGGACCCUGGAUGCAGCGAGCUUUCUGGCACGUGUCGCGGUGGUCCUCCGGCUCGGUCUCGGACAAAAUUAUUUUUUUUCAAAAACUGGUUGACCUCGGAUCAGGUAGGGAUACCCGCUGAACUUAAGCAUAUCA